CCCAGAUAGCUCAGUCGGUAGAGCAGGGGACUGAAAAUCCCCGUGUCGGUGGUUCGAUUCCGCCUCUGGGCACCA
rnacentral:tRNA from 1 species